UGCUCUUCUUGACAUUGUAUAAAUCAGUUUCGUCAGACUUACUCAGAAAUAACAAAAUCCAUGGCAUAAUCAGACAGAAACAGAUUUGCAUUUUGAAAAGCAUGCAAUCUGGAACAAAUGUGCUUUGGAGGGCUUUUUUUAGAUGUGGGUGUUGUGAGGCAGACCGCGCCACAGAGGUGGAUCUGUUUAUGACAGGGAACAACUGCCAACACUGUCAUUAUUUGGCAGGUUUCAGCCGAGGAGCAGGACUGACUGCUGGGCAAGUGUGUGUCCGACCAACAUCCAGCUCACUGGCGGAUACACAUGAACCUCUGACAGGAGGGGAUCCACUGGUUAGCAAGAGAUGUAUUUCUACAUUUCUCCAAAUCUAUUCCACUGAAGAAAUAAACUCUACAUCUUGGAUAACCUGUGGGUGA
rnacentral:lncRNA from 1 species